ensembl:snRNA U6 U6 spliceosomal RNA
UUGCUUUGAUAGCACAUAUAUCCAAAUUGGAACAAUACAGAGAAGAUUGCCAUGGUCCCUGUGCAAGGAUGACAUGCAAAUUUGUGAAGUGUUCCAUAUUUUA